GGCCAUCGUCAGCAGGGCACUCUGGUGACCUCUGACCUGGUCCACUCCUACGUCUCGGACCUGCUGACCACUGGGCCCUCCGGGAGGCACGCAUGGAAGGACAGUUCAAGCUGGUGAGUCAGCGCAGAGCCAGACAGGCGGACUACGCCGCUGCCCUGAGAGAAGGAAACGCUGACAAAAACAGGACCUCCUCUCUCAUGCCGGUGGAGAGAUCCAGAGUGUGUCUGUCAUGUCCAGUGGAAGGAGAAUCUUCGGACUACAUCAACGCGUCCUAUAUCAUGGGUUACCACAAGAGCAGGGAGC